rnacentral:rRNA from 1 species
GACAGAGGGUGCAAACGUUGUCCGGAUUUAUUGGGCGUAAAGAGCGUGUAGGCGGCUUUACAGGUCCGUUGUGAAAACUCGAGGCUCAACCUCGAGACGCCGGUGGAAACCGUAAAGCUAGAGUCCGGAAGAGGAGAGUGGAAUUCCUGGUGUAGCGGUGAAAUGCGCAGAUAUCAGGAGGAACACCCGUGGCGAAAGCGGCUCUCUGGGACGGUACUGACGCUGAGACGCGAAAGCGUGGGGAGCAAACAGG